rnacentral:rRNA from 1 species
UACGUAGGGUGCAAGCGUUGUCCGGAAUUAUUGGGCGUAAAGAGCUCGUAGGCGGUCUGUCGCGUCGGCUGUGAAAACCCGGGGCUCAACCCCCGGGCCUGCAGUCGAUACGGGCAGACUAGAGUGCGGUAGGGGAGACUGGAAUUCCUGGUGUAGCGGUGAAAUGCGCAGAUAUCAGGAGGAACACCGGUGGCGAAGGCGGAUCUCUGGGCCAUUACUGACGCUGAGGAGCGAAAGCGUGGGGAGCGAACAGG